rnacentral:siRNA from 1 species
GAAGAGGUUGUGGCCAAGUAUUUC